GGCCACUCUCGGGUUACACAAUUCAGCCAAACUCCGAAUGCCAAAUAAUUUAACUUGGGAGUAAGACUAUGGGUGAUAAGGUCCGUAGUCGAAAGGGAGACAGCCAAGACCACCAGCUAAGGUCCCAAGAUAGAUGUUAAGGGGAAAAGGAUGUGGCGUUGCCCAGACAAGUAGGAUGUUGGCUGAGAAGCAGCCAUCAUUUAAAGAGUGCGUAAUAGCUCACUAGUCGAGUGACACUGCGCAGAAAAUGUACCGGGGCUAAACAUAUUACCGAAGCUGUGGAUUAUCCGUAAGGAUAAUGGUAGGAGAGCGUUCUAAACG
rnacentral:rRNA from 2 species